UUGACAGUGACCAGUUUGAGAGUGCUCAGGACAGCUUGGACUACUUCGGGGAGAGGAGAACCGAUAAGAGCCGCAGCUCCAAGUUCCAGGGAGUGGAGACCCCGUCUCAGAGCAGGUCGUGGGUUACUAUGAAGUGAUGAAGACUAAGUUCAACCGACAACUUCCUCCAGAACAGAGCCUGAAGAUCAAGAGCAUCCCGCAUCAACUCCAUAGCAGGUUUGAUUGAAUAUCUGGCCACUAUAAUACAUCAACUCCAUA